CCUACGGGGGGCAGCAGUGGGGAAUAUUGGACAAUGGGGGGAACCCUGAUCCAGCGACGCCGCGUGAGUGAAGAAGUAUUUCGGUAUGUAAAGCUCUAUCAGCAGGGAAGAAAAUGACGGUACCUGACUAAGAAGCCCCGGCUAACUACGUGCCAGCAGCCGCGGUCAUACGUAGGGGGCAAGCGUUAUCCGGAUUUACUGGGUGUAAAGGGAGCGUAGACGGUGCAGCAAGUCUGAUGGGAAAGGUCGGGGCCCAACCCCGGGACUGUGUUGGAAACUGUUGAACUGGAGUACAGGAGAGGUAAGCGGAAUUCCUAGGGUAGCGGUGAAAUGCGGAGAUAUUAGGAGGAACACCAGUGGCGAAGGCGGCUGACUGGACUGUAACUGACGUUGAGGCUCGAAAGCGUGGGGAGCAAACAGGAUUAGAUACCCGAGUAGUC
rnacentral:rRNA from 1 species